CUUUGACAAGGGAGGUGGGAAGAGGAUCGAGCUGACAGGUGGUGGUUUUGGCUUUGCGGAUGAGUUCUGAAACGGUCUGUUCUGUUACUAGGGUGAAGUCAGAGAGGGAGCUGAUGAGAGGUUGGCCAGAGGUCAUCAUCCAGGGUGGGUCAUCAGAGGGGGUGCGAGAUGAGGCCAGUUGUUGGUGAAUGGUGUUGAUUUUAGAGCUGAAGAAGUCAAGGAACGCAGUGCAUUGGGUGGUGGAAAUGUCUGGAGGGAGAGAUUUAGGAGGCUGAAGUAAGUGGCUGACUGUUGAGAAGAGGACUCUGCUGUUGCCUCUACCAGUGUUGAUGAGGUUGGAGUAGUAGGAGGUUUUGGCAGUGGUGAGGGCAUUCUUGUAGUGAUGGAGGUGGUCCGAAUACAUUUGGCGGUGUACAGUGAGUUGAGUCUUACUGUAGAGUCGCUCCAUCUCAUUCACCCACACUGCUCCCUGGUUCACUCCUCAUCUGCGCCAGCUCAAAGCCACUGGUCGUCGACUGGAGCGACUCUACAGUUGUCCCGGGCUUCAAGGUGGGAUCUUACCCGUCGUUGGCUAACCAGCCUUCCAUACUGGCUUAUUGCAGGAUGCGGUACCUGGGAUACGAUCAAUCCCCACCUAUAUGGUGGUAUAGAUCGCAAAGUGGAGGGACGGAGACAGUCUUCAGCCGCAUCUGCCCUAUGCAGCCAUGUGUGUGCAUAAUGGAUGCACAUCAGGGCAACUAUAAAACAAAAGGUAAUUUAUCAGAGUUAAAGUUAUUAAAGUGUUGCAGCAGCAGUAGUGGCAUUUGAAAGGUAAACCCAUUACUUCCGAAUCCAAUUUGACCUAUUGUCUUUAACUAGGGAAAUGUGAAAGAAAACAGAAAUCACAAUAUUAAAACUUGCAUUUUCAAUAUUGGGCGACUCACUUCUGUCUUAAUCGUUACUCAAAAUCACAAUUCUCUUCAAAAUCCUAUCCGAUUGCCCUUCACUAUCUAUUUAAAUUGGACGACCUAAUUAAACCUUUUAUUCUAC
ensembl:lncRNA